rnacentral:lncRNA from 1 species
CUACAAAGGACUCGCCCCUCUGCCGCCGACUCUCUCGAAUCUGUCUCAUCUCUCUUGACUCGGCUGCCCUGGUCCUUAAUCGCUGCGCCCCAGCUCCCUCGCGCUGGAGCCUAGACCUGGCCCGGGCUCGCGUAGUGCGGCCUGCGCGUCGCCCGGACUCGACCUCCCCCCCGGGGUGACGCACUUCCGGCGCGACGGAGCCGCGGAGACGGCAGGCCCUCCCGACCCGCAGCGGUGCCGGCGCAGGAAGAAUGGCGAGCUCCUUCCCCCGGCGCCGCGGCGGGGCGGAAAGAAAGCCGACCUGCUGGCUUCCCGACCUUUUGAGCCAAGAGACCUCUUCCACAAGCUUCCUCAGGGCCAGGUUCUCGAGCGACACUCUGAAGGUGGCGUUUUUAAUCAGCAGAGCUCUCCAGCCCCAAGUUACCGUCCCCGAGCCUCGCUUGAGCCGAGCUUGGCCGUCUGCUCACGCCAGUGCCUGUGCAUUGCUGAGAACCCAGCUCCAGCCUGGGGACCUGGACCAAGGUGAAUAGAUUCCCCAGACUCACGGCCUCUCUGAUACUGCUUCUGGCAGCUCUGAAAACCAGACCCAACCUAAGAAUGUUCUGAUUGUGUCUCACACCGUCUUGGAGUAACUCAGGCCUGGAGGCAGUUUCUAGGGAUAGUGUGCCUGGCAGCCAAGUUUUAACAUUUUUUCUUCCUGGAAGUACUUAGUUGUACACGCGUUAUUACAUGACCGUUACGCAGAUUGUACAGGCACUGCUUGUUGCUUGCAGAGAGUAUUUUUAAUCUUUUUCUGUAUCCUACAGUAGCAUAGGCUUGCUACCAUAGAAAGUGUUGCAGUAGAAACAAAGAUGAUUAAGACAGGACAGAUGUCUGCAAAACACCAUUAUGUUCUAGAGGAGGGAAAAAGCUCAAGUGCAUAUUCUGAUGUCUAGUUAAAUAAUGCUUUUGUGUGCAAAGAAUGCACUUUUGGGCCGGGGAUUUAGCUCAGUUGGCGCUGCUCCUGCCUUGCAAGCACAAGGUCGAGAGUUCUAUCCCCGGUAUCAAAAAAAAAAAAGUACAUUUUGUUCUUAUUAUAUGGCUGUUUUUACUUUUAACCCCACACUUUAAAAAGUAAUUCGCAGCUUAGAAAACUAUGCAGAAAACCCAGCUUGAGCAGUGCUGGUAUUUGCUGCGAAGAUGAUGUAUUUAAAAUUGCGUGUAAUUCUUGGCGAAAAAAAUAACACUAGUGAAGAUGAUGUAGUCUGAACAGUGUGCCCUUUGCUUUAUUUCCUUAUACUAAAUAGAAGAAGAUUAGCUUCCUGUCUUUAGGUAAAUCACUACAUUUUAGAACUGCAGUUUCCUCUUCACUAGAGAUAUUAUUUGAUCAUUAAAGUUUGGUUCAAAAUUUUGCGCAUCUCUUUUAUGGGGCAAGAAGAUAAUAAAAGAUUUAUGCCCUCUCCUUUUUUUUUUUCCGUACUGGGGAUUGAACUUGGGACCUUGCACUUGCCGGGCCGGCGGAGGAACCACUGAGCUAAAUCCCUGGCCCUAUGCCCUCUUCUUAAGCACAGGCUUGUUGAAAAGCUCUAGGGAGAAAAAUCUGUGUAACUGCUUCUCCUAAAACAGUUCAUGGGUUUGUCACUUGAUGAUCAGUAUAGUCUCACUGAAAUGCCUUCUUAAAUUCCUAGUUAGGAAUCUUCAUGUUAAGUUAAACUGCUCAUUACCUCCUUUAUGGAUAGUUUAUAUACCUAAGGAUUAUAGAGGGAAGGCUGUGUUUUUCCAAGAUCUGAUUAAAGGUAUUAUAGUAGUUAUUUUAUAGCUAGUUAGCAUUACAAAAUUCCCGAGGAGUCUAGACCCAUAACAUGACCUUGCAUGUACCACAUCUUUACAGCAUAUAUUGUAACUAAAUAUACUGAAUCUUGGUUCUAUUCAGUGAUUAUUUCAAACCGAUGUUUUUCCCCCACAGUAAAAAAAAAAAAAAACCUAUAGGAUACCAGCACACACAUGCCCCAGAUAAAACAUAGCCUGUAAGCUUCGCAAGAGCACAUAUUUAAUAGAAUGCAAAGACUUUCUGUUGAAAGAUCAGCAUCAACAUUUAAUCAAGUACAGCUUGGAAAAAAUAACAAAAUAACACUUGAUUUUCUAUACCUCUUUUUUUCUUUGCUUUGUAAAGGAUUUCUUGAACUAGUGAAAAAAAAAGUACACAAAGCUUGCUUACAGACGAAUUACGGGAUAGAAGGAACAAAGAGAAAGUCACUAGUCAGUGGCCUCUACAUCAGAUUAUUAUAACUGAAAAUAGGUCAUCACAGUUUCUAAGCAGUUGCUCAUUUUUUAAGUCCUCUGUGGAACCAUCUCCAUGCCGAUGCCUUUAAGGCCAAGGGGUCUGCUAGCACCUUGCCUCAUUUACUAAUUUCUCUUGUUCAGCCUGAAGCGCUUGGUAUCUGAUCUUUUCAGCUCUUAAUGUGUAAUCCUUAAUAUAUCUUUAGUUAUUGUCAUUGUGAUAGCCUUUAGUGACUCUGCUUCUCAAACCCCCUGAAGAAGUCAGAUAUUUUUCAUGGGGCUAUAUCUGUAGUAAGUUGAUUUUUUUUUUUAAGAACUUGUUGGAUUUCAGCUUCAGCAAGCUCCUACUUCCAAACCUAUUCUCACUAGGAAUACAACUCCUAAAAAUUCAUAAUUAUUCCCAUCUCUAUAGACAUUUUCCACAUACAGCUCCCUCUGAUGGCUUUUAAAACUGUAGUAGUUCAUUUAGUAACCAUUCAGUAAUGGUUAUACCUUCCCCAGAUGCUCUGCACAUAGCCUGCUAUCAACAGUCCUCUCUAGUGAUUCACAAACUUUCAGCAGCGUUAGCAUCUCCUGAGGACUUAAAAACUCAGAUUGAUACCAGACAAUGUUUUGACCCGGACAUGGUAAAAAUGAGAUGGGCUAAAUAUUGCAAGUGUACAUGGUCCUGCACAGGCAAAGCUUUAUUGCUGGGGAGGGUCUAAAGCCAAACUGUGGCUUUGCUUAUGGGAGUAAACAGUCCAGAGUGAACAAGCUGCUGUUUUCAGAACAGAGGGCAACAGGUUUUUACUCUUUUUCUGGGAUGAGCUAAAUUCCAGUAAUUUUCAUUGGUUAGAAGUAGGUUCCAAAAGAUGUUUCUUUUUGUGUGGACUUAGACGACUGGCUAGUAAAGUUCAACUCAUCUCAGAAGCUCUUGAGUUUUCCUGUAUCUGGAAAAUCAUCCUGUGCAAAGUAUCCCACCCUUAUUCUUGGCAUGCCGACAAGUGGUCUCCUGGGCUGCUCAGGAACUGCUAACUGAUACUCUCCCAGCUUGAGUCAUCAUCUUGCAUAAAUGACCUCUUGUUAUAAUAGGACUUUAGUGUUUGAGCUGCUGAAAAAGCACAAGGCUGGGCAUGAGAAACACCAACUCCAGUGGGCAGUAGGUCAAGCUAGCCCUGUAUCAUCUUGGAUAAAACACUUCUUUAAUGUUCAGCAUGUCUACAUGCGGAGCUGAUUAGAAUCAGACUCAUGGAUUAAGACAGCAAAGCAGAAAGACACAAAAUGAGGACAGAUGCCAAGCCUUUUAUCCCAUUUUAUUCACCCAUUGAACAUCUGCAGGCCCAAGUGAAGAGUCAGUAUUUUCAGCAGAAGUGGCCUUCAGGUCCCUGGGAAGUAACGCAGGCAACUGUUGUUAAAACCCACACAUCAGGGUGUUAUCUGGAGCAAAGCUACUGAGAAACUAAUAAUUAUUACCCUACCAUUUUACCCCAAAUUAGGAAUUUUAAGUUGACUAAGAGCAAGUGAAGCUUAUUUACACUGGGUUUUUUGGGGGGAGGAGCAGGGCGAUGGAUAACAAUUUCUCAUUUCAUGCAAACAUUUUGCUUUUGUGGUUUUGUCAGCAUCUCAUAAUUGGUCUGUUGAAACAUGCCAUGCCUCAAAGGGUAGUAGUUUACAGCACACAGGAUUGUGUUUUGCCGUCCCAGCCUCUGCCCCAUCAGUUAGGUGGUUCCUAACUGUUUCAGAAUUUCUGGACUCAGUUUUCAGGCUGAGUAAAGCUGGGCUAGAAUCUCAUUAUUUGCAUAAAAUUCCUAAAUGAUGCUGAUACUGUGUAAGGAUAAACAAAAUUAUGAAUAAGGAAACUUUCAUUCUCCCAGGUGCAAAGAAAAGAGAAAAAUACCCCCGCAUAUUUUCGUUGAACAUUUACUUUAGAAAAUACUUGCCUUUAUGUGCCUCUUUGAAAUGCAUAUAAAUCUUUCUAAAAAGCUAAGCUAGCCUCUCACUAGUUUUACAACCCUUGAACAUUUUCCCAAGGAAGACAACACCCAUAUCUUCCAGUUUCCUGGAAAGAUAAAAACCUAACAUCAGCAGACACCUGGUUCCAAAUUGCAAACCUACCUCCUGUCAUAAAGAUAGGAUAAAUUUAUUUUUCCUUUAAACAGUUAACACAGAUGAUCACCAAAAUUACCAGGUGAAUUUAGUAUGAACUCUGACAAAUGGUGCUGUCCAAUCCUCUUACUGGAGAACUAUUUACAUCAUACAUGUAUGUAAUGAGUUGCAUCUGCUUAGCUGUAUCAAAGUAGAGUUCGUCUUGUAAUUGCAAUAGUGUUUUGCCUAUAAUGUGCAAAACAUUCCGAUUUAAUGCUUAUUCAGUCAAAGCAAAAUAAAAAACAUUUCUUUCUCUUCUUUGUAUAAAGGUUUUCUGGAUUGCAUAGAGAUUUUGUUUUUAACUGUAUUUCUCCAACAUUAGCUGAGGACACACUUUGACACACACUUUAUAGUGUGAACCUAAAUGGAGAACUUGAAAUUUCUCUCUAGAAUUUAUCUUACUACUUUCAGCCUGUCCUUUGGAACAUUAGCUUUUUUGCAUUUUGAUUCUGUUAUCCUUCCCACUUUUUAUCAUCUGUAAAGUUGAUAAACCUAUUUUCCUAAUCAUUGUGGGAAGAUCUGAAGGUGGCUGUAAGAUGCAGUGCUUACAUUGUUAGUCAUUGGAUAGCUGUAUAGCAUGUACUGUCUUACAUACUAGGGAUUCAGCUGUGAAUGAAACAAUCCUGACUCUAGUAGCUUACAGUGGGGAAGACAAAGAAACUGGCCACUGAUGUGUUAAGCUGCAUCAUGCUGCAGUAGGAGGGAAGACCUUGCUGGUAACACAAAGGGGUGCACCUCACCAAGGUCUUGGGAUCAGGAGCAGCUUCUUUUAAGAGUUGGCACACCUGCUGCCCAAAGGAAAGGUAGCAUUGUGGUAGGGGGAGAAGGAGUAUUAGUCCAGGCAAAGCAAUAGUAUUUGCAAAAACCAGACAUACUAGAAUAUACAAUGUGCACUUAGCAGGAAAAUGAAAUAUCAAUAAAAUAUCAAGUAUGUACUGAGUAUUUAGAAUAAACAACAUUUUCUACAUCAACUGUUUACUUACAAAAUCUAAAAAAUAAUAGAAAAAAAUUCCUAUGUGAACUACAAUGAAAAUACAAAACCUCCCACAAAAAAAAUCAUUACUUUAAUUAUCAUACCUAAGGCAGUUUUCACACAUGAAAACAGCAUGUUCCAUAUACAAGUACUGCUUACUCUUGAUAGUACUGUAGACAGCUAAGCUAGUUAGAAAACACUAUAGGCAGUUAGGCAGGGCCAGGCCCUCGGCACCGAAGACAACUGUGUCUGAGGCGCAUUCACUGAAGGCCAGCCUUCAGGAGAGGAACAAGGACACCCACAUGCUUCCCCUCAGGAGGAACAGAGGAACUGAUGUUCUAAAUACAUCAGUCACCUUGGGUAGGGACCAGAACCUUCCUAGCCCAUUACUUCUGGGAAAUCCUUGUUCAUCCCAUGUAUACUUGCUAUGUGACUUGCUUCUCCAUUUAAUCAGUAUUACCUAAGUGACUAUACUUUCUGUAAUCUUAUUGGCUGACCAUAGUUUUGUCCCACCUCAUACCCACAUUGUUAUUUCCCAUUGGAUCAAUAUUACCUGAGCAACUAUACUUUUCAUCUUUUUAGUUGACUAUACUUUUGUCCCACCUUGAACCCACCUCACCUCAUAGCUUUACUCAAAAAAACACCCUGGAGAAGCAAGGUUGGUGGGGAACUCACUUUCCAGCCCCUCUUCUAUCUCUUAGAAGCUGUCUUUCAAUGAGUUCUUCCUAGCCUCUGUUGUUCCUAAAAUUCAUUCUUUGAUUUUAGAGAACACAAACUCAGCAUGUUCGCACAUCUAGCAGGUUGAGAAUUAGAGUAUUUCCCUUACAUUAUUUGGAUUACUUGGAGGUUCUGUAUCAUCCAUACAUGGUACACUCCAAAUCAAUAGCACAUGUGUUUUGUUUCCCUUUGUUGAUUGAUAGGUAAUACUUGACUUUUUGCUGGUCUUCCUCUUUGAAGUUCAUGUGAUGUUUCACCUGUCUCUUCACCAGUAUGCUUCACAAUUCUUUUGCCAAGUUCUCUGAGUAGGUACAGAUUGUUCUUCCUCUGUUAUAAUUGAUCAUAUAUCAAUUCCAGUCCCACUCCUCUAAGAAAAUUUUGUGAUAUUUUAUGCUUGUUAUUUUCUUUGUAGAUUAUGAAACUAUGCCUGACUGUUUAAGAUUGAAUAAAACAUAACUAUUGGCCAGUGCUUUGUGUUUCUAGUGACAUCAUAGUUGCUGUAUAACUCAACAACAUCUACUCUGCCUUUUUUUUGUGUUGUAGAAUGUGACUAUUUCUACCUUCGUUUGUGUUGAGGAUUCACUAUCCAUUUUGUUUUGUUUUGUUUUGUUUUGUUUUGUUUUGAGACAGGGUCUUGCUAUGUAAUCCAGGCUAGCCUUGAACUCACUAUGUAGCACAUCCUGACCUUGAACUCACAGGAUCCUCCUGCCUCAGCUUCCCAAGUGCUGAGAUUACAGGCAUGCACCACCACACCGGGCUUCACUAGCAAUCUUAUCAACCUGGUGUAACAUUAUGAGAGUGUCAUUACUACUUUAUUUUUUUUUGCCGUAUAGGAGGCCAAUGUUAGAUCUUUCUGAAAUGCAGAGAUUGUACUAUACAUUCCUCUCUUGAGAACUUGCAACAUUUUGGAGGGUAAUCUCCACUUUGUUCUUGGGAAUAGUUCCAGUGCUGGUCACCUGGUAUUCUUUUAGCAGAUAUAACAUCAGUUGGUUACUAGUGAACCAAUUGUCAAUUGUGACAAUUAGGUUACUUUUUAAAUAGAUGGAACAAGUCUGUUUACAACAUCAGAUAGUUUAUUACUGCAGGAAUAAAAGCCUACUGGCAGAGUUCCAGGAUAAAUUUCUAACUUCAAGGUAUAAAAUGACUUCACCUACCAGAGGAUAUAUUUUUACACCAUACUUGUCAAUAGGGCAUAUGAUAGAUGGACCUGCAAAUAAUAUAAGGAAAAUAUUAUAGCUCCCAACCUGCUAGAUUCAAAGGUUAAAAUAUGGAUAUCUGCCUUUUGGGCUUCUUUUGUAAGCUAAUAGAGAGGUUGUGGAAUUUUACUGUAUCUUGCUAUCUAAAGGCGACAAAAGCCUAUAAUUCCUAGGAAUCCCCUUAGCUGUUUUAGAGUCUGGGCUGUGGGAAGGAAAGAAUUGGUUUAAUUCUUUCUUCCCCCAGCUUUUAGGUCCCCUUGGAUAUGAUAUGGCCCAAAUAUUUUACCUCAAGGCUGCAAAGUUGUGCCUAGAUCUAGAAAUCUUAUAAUUCCUGUCUGCCAAAAAAUUUAGCAGAGCACAGGUGCCUUAGCUAGAAAGCUCUUCUGAGGGGGCACAUAACAAUAUGUCAUCUACAUAUUGUAAGACUGUGACUUGGGAAAAACUACAGUGUUUAAACAAGAUAAAAUAUCUCUCCCCAGGAGAGGAACUGGACAUUUAGGCAUAAUUAAGAGGAAUGUGUAAAAAGAAAACUGUCCCAGUUAUAGCCCAAAAGUUUUGAGAAAUAGUUACCUCCUCUCAAUAGUGGCUACUUUCACUGAGGUAUGCCAUCUGGAAGGAAGGCCAGGGUUCAAAAGAAGGACCAAGAGACAUGCACCAGUGUCCAGCAAUAGGUGGUUUGUUUAUCCCUGUAGUCAUCAUUACCUGGGGCUUCUCCAUGGAGACGACUGUCCAGCCAGAGGGAGGGCACAGAGAGUGCCCUGGGGCCCUUCAGUCUUGCUGCACUGUCUGGUAAGAUGGGUCUGUGCUCUGGGGCACCCACCUCAGUGCAGUCUGACUCCCGCUGGCCACCUUGGCAGUUGGGGCAUGACUUACAGGAAUUCUGUGGCAGUCCCUCUUAAGGUGGCCUGGCUCCACAGCAGUGCAGGUGAGAUUAGUAGCUGUUGAGCUCUCUUCGGGCCCCCCAAACCAAACAUAGCAUUGUUCCUUUAAGGCUGUGAUUAAAGCAGCCUCAUCCUUUUGGUCUCUGUUUUCUUCCCUUGGCUUCUUCCAGAUCUUGAUUAUAAAAUACUUAGAAGCCAGUUUUGACUAAAGUAUCAAGUGAACUAUCUGGAGCAAAAGCCAGAAAAAUAUUAAAUGGCUCCUUUUUUUGUUUUUUUUUCCUUAGUUCUGGGCAUCGAACUUGGGUCCUUGCACUUGUGCAGCAGGCAGCGAAACCACUGAGCUAAAUCCUCAGCCCAAAAUGGCUCUUUUUCAACAUGUGAGGGUCAAACAUUUUCCAGUGCUUAAGAAUACAUUCCAGGGCCAGGAUUUAGCUCAGUGGUUCCACCGCCUGCCUCGAAAGUGCAAGGUCUUGAAUUCGAUCCCUGGUACAUAAAACAAAAAAAGAAUACAUUCCAAAGGAGUAGGAAAUUUUGACAUUGAGUAUCCCAUUUGAAACAAGAAAAAGAAGCUGGCAUCCCUUUUAAUUUCUACUUGAUUCUUGUAUCUGCAAAGCAUCUCCGAGAUGACUACUCCAGAGUGGGAGCCAACCUCUGGAGAGAAACUAUAAGAUAGGUCAGGAUAAGUUAAGCCACCGUUACUGGCUCAAGACCCUGUCUUCCCCAAGAAACUCAUAUUCCUUAUUCUAGCAGAUGUUUCUAAAAGCUCAAGCUAUAACUGAUUCUAUCUGUAAAAAACAUUGCCAACAAACCAAUAUCAAGAGAUCUAACUCAUUAUUUUCUAAUUCUUUGAAAGAGAGUUAAAAAAUAUCAAAGAGCAAGUUGGAAAUAGUUGGAGCACUUCUCAGCCUAUAAAAGAGAUCACCACGGGCCGGGGAUUUAGCUCAGUGGUUUCGCCGCCUGCUGCGCAAGCACAAGGACCCGAGUUCAAUCCCCAGUACCAAAAAAAAAAAAGAGAGAUCACCUCUAGAAAUAGAGUCAGGUAAAAUGGCUCAGAGAAAUCUUGCCCUGGGCCUGAGGUCAGAAAAGCCUCUAAGACAUUCCUGUUAUCUACAUAAUCACCUCAGCAACCUUCUCUUGGGCCAGUAGGCUGAAAGGAAGCUGAUCAGGCAAGGUUCUCAAUGAAAAGAAUGUCCAUGGAGCAGACAUUACAAAGCAGGAACCAAACUUUAAUCUUACAGCAUACCACUUAUAGUGGCUGUUACCAUUUUCUCUGAGACACAGUAAGACAAAACAGCCGUGUGACUUUGCAUAGCCAUGUGGUAUGUGCAUGGUCGUCCAUGCUGAUUUAUUAUUAUUAUAACAAACUCCUCAUGCACCUGCACUAAUGACAGAGUUGAGUCCUCAGGUGCCUCAAGUGCCCUCAGUCACCCAGGCUUUGACACAUCUGCCAGUGGCCCCCUGCACCUUCCUUAGCAGCAGGACAAGGCUACACUUUAUUCAAGGUCUAAUCUAAAAUUUCUGUCUCUGAAGCCCACAGGUUAAACUUAUACUCAUCACCCAGCAACCACAAUUCACAUGUUAGUAAAGGCACAUUUAUCAGGUUUUUGUGCACACGUGAAAGAAGAGAAAGGCUGACUAAAAUCCCAUUUUUACUCUUAGCAUAUAUAAAGCACAAAUGUAAAUCACUAGCUGAUUGCUGUUCUCCAUGAAAGGUAAAUGGUUGUUGUAAGCUGCCUCAUCCUGACUUCCUGGAAGGAGAGGGGGUCUAACUACAAGAUAGUUCUAAAGUUAACUCCCAAACAGUUGAAGAAAAGCUUAGGGGGAGUUUUUCACUUACUAGCAGAAAGAAAAGGUACAGAUAAAAGCCAAAGAUGUCUAAAACCUACCCCCAAAAAAAUUAUUACAUAGCAUUUGACAAGUUCACAGUAAAAGUUUUAAAGUGUACAACUUAUUUGCAAAAGUAUUUCCCUCCCUUACCCACAAAAAUCAUGAAAACCAGAUGUAGGGGAGAGAGAGAGAGAGAGAGAGUGAGCGCGCGCGCCAGCCAGGAUGUUAGUGAUUCUCUUAAACUAAAUAAGAGAAUCACUAAAUGUCCCUUAAAUGUCAUGCUUAGGAAAUAGCUCCUUUUAGUCUCACCCAGAAGUUGGUUCUUUUCACUGGGUCUCAGGUUCAGUCUCCAAGGAAGACUUGCCCAGAACACUGAGGAUGGAAAUCACUCGUUUUUUUUUUUUUUGGUACCAGGGAUCGAACUUGGGUCCUUGCACUUCCGCGAGGCAGGUGGCAGAACCACUGUGCUAAAUCCUCGGCCCUAGGACAUCACUUUUAUGGUGUUCUCUUGGACGGACUAAGUCUCAAUGUCUCAUCAGACCCAGAGAUGGGGUAUGUGUUCCUCAUCUAAGAUCCCUGUCGUUGGCAUUAGCGAUGCUGAUUUUCUACAGGCUCAACUUAAAGGUUCUUAGUUGUUGGAUAGGAGGGAAAGGUUGGGACAGUUUAGGAUUCUUUUUUCUCUAAUCUUCAUGCCUUUAAAAAGGAAAAUAUAAAAUGGCAGGGAAAGAUCAGAAAUAAGUUCAGCAAAGGAAGUCUUCUCAUGCUUAUGGUGAGUUAUUGAGACAACUUGGUCAUGAGUUGUCAGUCUCAGCCUGGAAAGGUGAGAAUAGGGAAUCUCAAGGGCUAAGAUUGCAUCCAUACCAGCAAAGGAUCAGACCAAAAAGGAAACUGGCAGAACAGGCUCAACAUUUUCUCUAUAGAGAAGGACUGAGCCAGAGCAUCUCAGUGAAACCUGUCCCGAAGUCUAGAACAGCUGCUGGCCUAUUGCCUUUAUUAACUGGCAGAAAGGGUCCCAUGAUUUUUUUUUUUUUUUUGAGAAGAAAAUUUUAUUUGGUAUUUAUUUGGUAUUGACCUGUGUGUUAGAAUUUUUUAAACCUUCCAGGAGCCCUCAGGCAGAACUCAUACUGUGACUUAUUAAUAGCCAUGUAUAUUUCUUAAAUAUAAACUAGAUUUGAUUUUUUUAAAGAAAACCCAUUUUACAGAAUUUUAUAUCAAAAUCUACCAGGGGGCUAUCUAACACUGCUUUUUCCCUAGCGCUGUCUGACAAGUCAAACAGGUCAAGUAAAGAACACUGAUAAAUUCACCAACUGCAGGGCUGGGGAUUUGGCUCAGUGGUUCUGCCACCUGCCUUGCAAGCGCAAGGUCCCAAGUUUGAUCCCCAGUACAAAAAAAAAAAAAUCAGCAACUACAUCAAAAUGCAACAUACACAAAACAGGAAUAAAAUAUAAAAUGUCAUUUUCUUUUAAUGGGACAUAUCUUCCCAUGUUCUCAACUUAGAUUCACCAUCAUUUGAACAAAAGACAAUGCAUCAUGAAAGACAAGGCCUAAGCAAUUGACAAAACAUAAAAAUUUAUGGCAUGUGCAGUUAACAGAAAUUCAAGACAUAAGGCAUACAAUUCAAGACAAUUUUGAUUAAGUGACCCACAAUCCAGAAUCUAUGAAACAAAAGCAAACUCCUACCUCCAUCCAAUUGUCUUAGUAAGAGACCUCCAAAUGAUAUAAGCUGUAUGAGAUAUGGACCUCCAAAUAUAAGGGAAAUAUAACUCCCAACCUUCUAGAUAUCUGACAUGCUAAGUUCAUGUUCUCUAAAAUCAAAGAAUGAAUUCCAGGAACAGUGGAGGUUAAGAGUGGGAGGAAUUUAUUGCGAUAAACAUAACUUCCCUGGGGAUUUAGCUCAGUGGUGCAGCCACCUACCUGGCAAGCACAAGGUCCCGAGUUCAAUCCCUGGUAUAAAAAAGAAAAGAAAAAAAAAUAUAUACUUUCUGUCUAAAAGAGACAAGGGGACCCAGAAAGGGUUGCCUACAGACCAUACUUCUCAAGGGAGUUUUAUAGAACAAAGAAAGCCACAAGAUAAGGCAGGUAUAAGAUGAAGUGGAACAAACUAUAGUCAACUAAUAAGAUUAUAAGUAUAGUCAUUUAAGUAAUACUAAUCCAGUGGAAAAUCACAAGGUAGGUACAAGGUAGGACAAAACUACAGUCAACCAAUAAGAUUACAAGUAUAGUUGCUUAGAUAAUAUUGAUUAAAUGGGUAUCAGAUGGGGAAGCAAGUCACAUAACAAGCAUACAUGAACAAAGGAGGAUUUUCCUGGAAGGAAUGGGUCAGGGACCUUUCCUAGAGGGGAUGGGUUAAGGUCUUGGUCCCCCACCCAGGAGAUUGAUGCCUCUUUAGAAUAUUAAUUACUGCUGUUCAUCACUAGAAGUGUGUGGGUGUAGUCAGUUCUUUUUAUCUUAAAGCUUGGCCCUCAGUGAAUGCACUUCCAGCCACAGUUGUCUUCUGCACAGACUUCUUUGAGGGCCCAGCCCUGUCUGACUACCUAUAAUAUUUCUAACUUCUAGCUAACUUAGCUCUUAACAGUACUUGAAAAGUUUAUUUGGUAUAUAUUGCCGAAAGCUUCAGCUACCACAAAAUGAUGCAAGUUGUUCAUGACUUGUCAUGUAUUUGGGCAGUAUAUUCAUUGCUUGACAGUGCGAAGCAAAGCUUUCAAAAAAUGAAUGAACAGCGGCGAUAUUAUUGGAUUUUUUUCUCUCUUGAUGGGUCUUUUUGUGAAAAUGUAGGCAAUUUUAGGGUCAGGGAUUUAGCUCAGUGGUUUCGCCGCCUGCUGCGCAAGCGCAGGCACCCGAGUUCGAUCCCCAAUACCAAAAAAAAAAAAAUGUAGGCAGUUCUGAAGGAAACCACAUCUCUUGAAUGUCAGUAGUGUUCUAAAAAUCUCAAUGUCACUUCUCUUACUUCUCCAUAAAUCCUCUAGAUUCUGACGAUUAGAAUGAUAAAAUCCUUCUGUGAAGGCUUUUAGUUCAGAUAGUGAGGUCAUGAUAAAUAUAUGUUUGGGUACUCUUGAUACAUAUAGAAUGUUUUACUUGUAUUUCAGAAUUAAUAUAUUUCAAAAUAUCUUGUAGCCUAUCACCCAUUACAGACAAUUUCCAACAUUGAAUCACACUGUUGGUAUUCUGUCCAAUAGGUUUCACCCCUGGUAAGAACCUAAUAACAUUUUCUGACCUAAUUCUAACAUUGGAUCGUUCAGGUAUGCAUGACCAUUUUGUAGGAUUUUGACUAGUUAAAUAUUUAUUUACAUUACUAUUUUCCUCCUCAUCUGAAUCAAGAUCUUCAUCCUGUACAUCUUUGCCAUAUCUUGCUCCAUCUCACUGUCACAACUUCUUUGGCUUACAUGAUCCAAGUAAUCAUUGCUAGCUGAAUCGAAUUGCCUAAUGGCUCACUUUCAACCUCCUCCCAAAGUUGUAAAAGUGGAUUAUCAUGCGACAUUGUACUGGAUUAGGCUAAUUCUACAAGAAGAAUCAAAACAUUUAAUACAACAAAAUAUAAAUAUACCAAAAUGUAACACAGUGCAUAACAUGGGUAAAAUUCACCUGUUGUUACUUUGAAAAACAUGCAUACACCUUGCCAUUCAUCUACAAAGUGGGUGAACACAAAGAUUGCUUCCUGUAUUCCCCCAGCACAGCUACUGAGAUGCACAGCUGGCUACCAUUAUGCUAAAGUACAUAUUUUCAUUAGAAAAGUGUGGAUAGGAGUGUCUGUUACCCACCAAUGAUGCCCCUAAUUAAAUGAGAUGUUUCUUUUGGCUCUGUUUUAGAAAUUUCAGUCUUUGCAUGGUUGGAGGCAUGAUAGAACGGCCUGGCCAGAAGAAAACUGCUCAUCUCAUGGCAGAUAGGAAGCAAGAGAGAAGAAAAGGAGGAGCUGGGGAGGGAGAUACACCCUUCUAGAUCAUACCGCCAGGACCUACCUCUUCCAAUCAGACCCCACCUUGCAAUAGCAAGUCACCCAUAUAUCUCCAUAUUCCAAUCCCCUUCCAAACACCUGAAGCCUUGAGGAUCAUUUUAGAUCUAAACUCUUACAGUACCCAAGGCCUGAAUUGUAGUAGUUCACAUGUCAGAGGAAAAGGGUUCAGCCUGAGGUAGAAGUGACAGAGAUGGAGACAGAAGGAGAAAUUUGAGGUAUAUUUUGCAGAUAGAAAUGACACUCCUCAUAAGCAUGUGGGAGAGGAAAAUGUUUUUGUCUCCCCUUUCAGGCAUAUUGGAAGUUACAUUUCCAUUCUCUACAUACCUCCCCCACACACCUGUAUGUUACUGGGAAUUAAACCCAGGGUCUUCAUACUGAGCUACAUUUUCACACCAUUUUAUUUUUUAUUUUAUUUUUUAUUUUAUUUUAUUUUUCAGACAGUAGAUGGAGUGAUUGAUCAGGGUUUAAUGAUUUUUGGAUCUCCUUUUCCUUGGAGGUGAGGUGGGGACACAUAAUAGGUUGAUAGAGAUAUUUCCCAUCUUCAAAAACCUUACUGAAAAUGAAACCAGAAAAUUCAUUUAAAGUUAUGAAAAAUACAUUGACUGACCUUUGAAGUUCAAGUAAGCCCAAAAUGAGCAGGAUAAUUAAGACAAGUGAAAAGGCUAAGAAAAUAUAUGAAGCUUGACUAAUAAGCAUGUUUAAAAUAAAUAAUGUAUUUUCAUGAGUUAUUGAUGAUCUUAUAAUUCACGAUUGCUGAGAAAUUAACAAAAGAUGAUUUAUAAAAGGUCAUCAAGAGCAUGUAAGAAGGCGACAGCUCAUUGCUUACCUUCUAAUUAGAGAUGUAGAAAGAAGAUAAGCAGAGGGAAAAAAGGGAGAAGGUAUACUAGAAAAGGGUAUAGACUCAUUUAAUAAUGACCCCACCCCUCAAGUUUUUAUCCUUCCAGCCAAUCAAAAAGUAAUGUACUGGGCCGGGGAUUUAGCUCAGUGGUGCUGCUGCCUGCCUCGCAAGCACAAGGUCCUGAGUUCAAUCCCCAGUGCCAAAAAAAAAAGUGAUGUACUAUAUAGGAAGUAAGAUCUUUGCAGAUGUAGUGAAUUGAGGCCAUACCAGAUUAGGGUGGGUCCUAAAUCUAGUAUUACUUGUGUUCUUACAAGAAGAGGGGGAAAAAAAAGAAAGAAGAGGGGAGAACACUGAGAUACUCGGAGACACACAGGGAAGAAACCCAUAUGACAAGAGGCAGAGGUGGAGUCAUAGAGCUUCAAGCCCAGAAGCCAGUUGCCAGCAGCCACCAGAAACUAAGAUACCCGUGAACCUUGUUCUUCCCAGAGCCUCAGAGCAAGCUCUGCCUCCCUGGCACCUUGACCCUAGCCUCUGGAAGAGGUGAGAGAGUAUUUUGUAUUUCCACUGCUUUAAGUCACCUCAGUUUUGGCUUUAUUACUGCAGCCUGAGGAAACUAGUACAUAUAUCAAAAACACAUGUAUUUUUUAAAUUAGUGUUUAAUUCAGAAAGUGUGUGGUCCCUUAAAGACUAUGGAAUAAUCACGAUAAGAACCAUGCUUUUUAACUCAAAUAUUAAAUUCAAUAUUUAUAUUUGGAAAAGUCAGUGAGCAACGUAGAAUUCAGUCAUAUAUCUGAAUACCUAUUCUGUUCAAUAAAUUAUUGGAAGAUCAGAGUGCUAAGAGUGAGGAUUGAUUAAGAAUUUUAUAAAUUAUAGGCCUCAAAUAACUUCACUUGGUGCAAUAAAAGAAGAUAUAUUAUUAUAAAGUACUAAAUUGAACUGUAACUAAGGAUUGAAAAGAAAGGCACAAAUACUGAUGUUUAUGAAGCAUUAAAGAAGAUAUAAAAAGUGGGAAAUGCAGCUAGGCAUGGUGAAUACUCCUGAAAUCCCAGCUCUCUGGGGAGCUGAGGAGAAGGAUCAGAAGUUUGAUUUCUAGGAAGCAUAUUUAUUAACUUUAGCCUUUUCUUUAUAUGAUGCUUUAUAACCAUUAGUAUUUGUGCCUUCCUUUUCAGUCCUUAGCUACAGUUCCUUUAGUACUUUAUACUAUCUUCUUUAUUGCACUAAAUUAAGUUACUUAGCAAGGCCCUAUCUGAAAAUAAAAAAUGGAUGAGGAUGUUGCUUAAUGAAAACAAAGGCUCAGUGCAAAGGUUCAAUCCCCAGUACCAUAAGAAAAGAAAAAAAUUCAAAGGUUUUGUAGCACAUUCUUGAAUGCAAAUGUUGAUGUUUUCAUUUCAAAUUAAUUAUUUUUAUUUAGUAUACUCCAUUUUCUAAUUGCUCUUGUUUAAUGCAGCAAUAAGCUCAAACGUUUUAUUAUUUGAAAUUACAGUUAAUGUUCAAUUAUCACUUACUUUAAAGUCUAUUUUUUAAUUUUAAAAUCAUCACUGUUCAUAUCCUAACAUUCAACUGAUUAAAAUUGGUUGUUACAUGUGUGGGAAGUCACCCUAUUGAAUUAUAGUUUAGUGCAUCUAUCUUCAAUUGCAUAAUCAUUAUUUUCAUAGUGCCAUUUUAAAUAUUCUAGUAUAAACCACCAUUGUUUGUUAAAAUAUGUAGAUACACAGAAAAAUAUUGGGAAUUUUUACUUAGGUUCCCUUAACUCACUGAUAUUUUUUAAAAGAGCUAACAGACCCCCCCCAGGACACACAACUUGGAGUCUAAUAUCACUUUGCAAUAAAAGAAACUAAGCUCCUUAGAGAAAUGGCUGACUAUAGGAGUGGAACACAGAAUGUACAAGAUGAGCCUGGAAUGUAUUGUAUUUCCUGAAAGUGAGGGGUUGUUCAAAAUACACACACACACACACACAUACACAGAUGGAGCCUACCAGAAAGACAUGGGAGCUUUCCAGAAAAAGCUUUCAGUGGCCAGUGCUGGAACAAAACAGACAGUGUCAUGUUGGAUCAUAACCCACUAAAUAAAAUAAAUAUCCAUGAGUCCAUACUCAUGGGCUAAUAAAUAAGUAAAAGCAGAGAAGAGAGAAAUCUGUAUAAAUGAUUUCAAAUAACUUGUUUAUGCAUUCCAAUCUUGAAGGAGCAGAUCUGAUUUCUCUAUCCCAUGAGUAUGGGUUGUGCAUAGUGCAUUGUUUCCAAAGAGUAUAGUGUGCAAAAGUAGGGGGGAAUGUAAUUACAAUGGAGGAACAUGGCCAGGUAAUCAAAAGUAGCAUUAUCCGUGAUGAGGCAAGCUGCUAAUGGGUGCCCUUGAGAAGAUGUGGUGAAGAUGGCCCUUCACCUCAUUGAUCUUCCAUCACCCCAACCCACAAUCCCAGUGUAAGCAUAAGAAAAACAUCAGACAAGCCAAAAUGGAGGGCAAAGAUUUAGAGUUAAGAAUCUGCACAAACCAAUUCACUUUAGCCAAGACAGAGAAGCAGACUAGAUGCCCAUCAGCAGAUGAAUGGAUAAAAUGUGGUCCAGAAACACAUAAUGGAAUAUAUGCACACAGUGGAGUAUUAUUCCUCCACAAAGAAGAAUGAAAUUCUGUCAUUUGCAAGAAAAUGGAUGGGUCCAAGACUGUCAUGUUCAAAAGAAUAAGCCUAAAGUCUCUAAAGACAAAUAUUGCAUACUCUCCCUGAAAUCUAAAAAGGAUGACAAGAAAGUAGAAGGGAGACUGUUACUAGACAAGAGAAAGGGAGUGAGUGAGAAGAGGGGUGUAUGGGAAGAUAAAUGGAGGCGUGGUGAUAUGAGCAGAAUAUGCCUAUUGAAAGCCCAAGAAUCUGAAACUAAGGGAGAGGGUAGAGCAAGCAGGGUGAUGGAGGUGAGUGUUACCAAGUGUGCGAUGUGCAUAUACAUGUCUGCCAAAAUGAAACCCAUUCAUUGUAAUUUUUUAACAAUGCACAGAGGCCAAGGCAAUCAGAUAGGGCUAUCCAGGGAACCAGCCUUGCACUUCUGCAGAGAGAUCCUUAGAGAACCUCAGCAAAGUGGUUUUGGUUUUUGGUUUUGGGGCGGUUGGGGGUUGGUACCGGGGAUGAAACUCAGGACCUUGCACUGUCGAGGCAGGCGGAACCACUGAUCUAAAUCCCUGGCCCCUUUAGCUAAGUGUUGAUGCGCUUGGAGUGAACCAACUAUAGAGGCCAAAGGAAGCAAGCAACAUAACCCUUGGGCUCACUGAGGGCUUGGGAUAUCUAUUCCUACCAGCCAAGGUGGAAGACACAACUCAUGGAACCAUCAAGGAGAAAGAAGCCACAGAAGGCUGCUGCCUCACAGAGGGGCAUGUGAGCCAUGGAAGAAAGCUUUGAAUGAAAAAAGAUCAAACUACUUUUAAGGAAAUCAACCACAUCCCAAAGCCAAGCUCAACACAGUUUAAGAAAUACAGAAAUCUUACCCAACAAGGUAAGAUUCACCAUGUCUUAAACUGAACAAAACAACAAAGAUAGGGCCGGGGAUUUAGCUCAGUGGUUCAGAUGCCUGCCUCGCAAGCGCAAGGUCCUGAGUUCAAUUCCCGGUACUAAAAAAAAAAAAAAAAAACAAGUAGAAAAAUAAUGCCACCAUGAAGAAUGAAACAAUUCCCUAAAAAAAGAGACCCAGAAAUGACACAAAUGAAAGAAUUAGUAGACAAACAUGUUUAAAACACCUACUAUAAAUCUACUCAGUAUCUUCACAAAGGCAGAGAAGAGCUUGAGCAUAAGGAAAUGAAAGAGCAAACACCCAAGUUCAGCUGCUGGAAAGGAAAAGUAUAAUAUCUGAGAUGAAAAUUCUAAGUUGAGUUAUCAAUAAGUUGAUACAAAAAAAAAAAAACCCUGGACUUGAGAACAAAAUUCUAGAAGCCGCACAAAAUCUUACCAGAAGGGAGAAAGACUAAAAAGGAAAUUUAUCUGGACAACAACAUCAAGCAACAAUGAACAGUUUAUGACUGGAGUCCCCAAGUGAGAGAGGAGGAACAGAGGAGCCAAGAACUUGUAUCUAGCACUGAUGAAGAACUCUUAAAACCAAAUAUGAUAACUUAAAAAAACUUUAAAAACUGAGUGGCAGAUUUGAACAGACGCUUGACUAAGGAAGGAAGAUAUACAGACAGCCAAAAAGCACAUGCAAGAGGCUCAAAAUCAUUAGUCAUUAGGGAAUCGCAAAUUAAAGUCACUAUACAACAUACUACAAUGGCUAAAAUUAAAAAGAUAGAGCAUCCUUAAUAUUAGCAGAGAUAUGGGAAAUUUAAACAAUAUAACUUUGGAAAACAAUCUGACAGUUUUUUACACAUUAAAAAUAUGCCUGCCAUGAAACACAACCAGUCCACUCCUAGGCAUGUAUGCAAAAGAAAUAAAACCAUGUUUCCAUAUACAGGCUCCUGCACAAGUAUUCAUAGGAGCUUUAACUGAAUAUAACUUUUAGGAGUGUUAGAAAUGUUCAUCGCCUAUUUUAUAAGCACAGUGUCAUAGUGUAUCUCCAAAAGUUGUAAUAAAAUCAAGUAUUAGGAAAUAAACAGAAAACGUACACAUUUAAAAAAGGAAAAUCAGGGCCGGCGAUUUAGCUCAGUGGUUCCACCUCCUACCUUGAUCCCCGGUACCAAAAAAAUAAAAAAGGAAAGUCAUAAUUUCUGAGGAGGAAAACAAAUAUGGUACUCACAAUUAUAAGAUGGCCCCAGGUGCCCACCCCUGAUGUACAUGCUAAAUACAAUCCUCUGAGGGUGGGCAGGAUCUGUGGCUAAGAUAUUACACCUGUUAUUAGGAUACAUUCUGUGGAAAUAAUGAAACUACAGAUACAAUGAGGGUCCCAAAUCAGUUGAUUUGGGAUUAUCAACAGGAAAAUUAUCUUUGGUGGGUGUGAUGUAAUCAAUUGAGCCAUUUAAGAAUAUCCUCAGAUAGGAGACUGAAAGCAGCAAAGAUGUUCUCCUACUGGUCUUGAAGGAGCAAAUUGUCAUGUUGUGAAGAGACCCCAGUGGCAGGGAAUCACAGGCAGCCCAUAGAAGCUAGGUAGUAUAGGGGAAAUAGAUGUAAUUCCCAAACCUGCUAGAGAUCUGAAACAUGAGUUCCUGUUCUCUAAAAUCAAAGAAUGAAUUGUAGGAACAAUGAAAGUUAAGAGUAAGAAAAAAUUUAUUGACAGAAAGAUAGCUUCUGUCUAAGAGAGACUGGAAAGUGGGUUGCCCACCCACCUUGCUUUUCAAAGGUGUUUUAUUGAGCAAAGCCAGGAGGUGAGGCAGGUUCAAAGUGGAGCAAACUAUAAAAUCCAAUGGAAAAUUACAAGGUGGGCAUGAGGUGGGACAAAACCAUGAUCAAUAAGAUUACAAGUACAAUCACGCCGGUAAUAUUGAUUACAUGGGGAUCAAAUGGGAAAACAAGUCACAUACAGGGAAUUUCCAGAAAGGAAAUGGGUUAGGGAGAUUGAUGUCCAUUUAGAAUAUCAAUCACUGAUAUGCAUCUCUAAGGUAAGUAGUACCUCUUUUCUUUUUAUAAUGCCAACCAGAGAAUGUGCCUCAAUUGUUUUUCUCUGCUGAGGCCCCAGCUUUGUCUGUCUUAUAAUAAUUUCUAACUAACCUAGCUAUUGGCAAUAUAGGGGCCUCAGUCCUGCAACCAUCAAAACUGAAUUACUUCAGGGCUGGAGAUUUAGCUCAGGGGUUCUGUCACUUGCCUCGCAAGCACAAGGACCUGAGUUCAAUCCCCGGUACCAAAAAAAAACCACAAAACUGAAUUACUCCAACAAUGAAUGAACUCAGAAGAGAGCCUUGAACCUCAGAUGAAUUCACAGCCCUGGCUGACACCAUCACUGCAGCUUUGUGAGACAGCAGGCAGUAAACCAUAACCAGAUUCCUAAUUCCUAGACUGAGGCAGUAUUUGGUUCGUGAUAGUCUGUUACACAGCCAUAGAAAAUGAACACAUGAAAAUUGAAGUUAUGCAAGUGAAUAUAUAAAUGAAUACAUGAAUGAAGACAAAAUGGCUACAUCAAAUGAGUGCUUAGUACUUCAGAGCAGCUGCUCACAGACAUAAAGAGUUAAGAAAAAUAAGAAUGAAACUCAAGAGAGCACAUAGGAAAUAUAGAGCAUAGCCCACGUGGCCAGUGCAUGUGUAUCUGAUAGAAGUUUCAUAAGGACCAAAUGGAAAAGGUAAUGAAGAAACAGUAUUUAUGAAUUAAAUAAAGACACGAACCCUUCUAUUACGUGCACUCUGGAGGUGAGUAAGAAAAAUAAAGAGUCCACACUAGAAUAUUAACAAUAAAAAACAACUCUUAAAAUCUAACAGGAUAAAAAACAAAUUACCUACAAAUCAGUGAUAGUUAAAAUGGCAUUCAUCUGUUCAUCAGCCACAACAGGUAUUAGAGACACUGUCAGUUUUUCUGCUACAUUUUGAAGGGAAUAAUUUAGGAUUGUAUACUCUGCUAAACUCUUGCUCCAAAUGAAGAACAAACUAGGGCCAGGGAUUUAGCUCAGUGGUUCCACCCCGGUACCAAAAAAAAAAAAAAGAACAAACUAACCACAUUUCCAAAUAUAUAAAGAUUAGAGGAUUACUACUCACAAAACCUCACUGAAAAAUUAUUAGGAAUAUAGUAACAAAAAAUAAAAUGAAUUAAGGAACAUAAUAGGAUCAAUAAAAAUAAGAUGAAAUAUUGGUAAAUUAAUUUGCUAAGUUUAAUUGAUUUUUUAAAAUGAGAUCAUUUUGUGUAUUUUUAACAGAUAAAUUCAAAACUUCCUAGAAAAAUAACUACAUAGGAGAAGGUAUUUAAUAGGUAGAUAAAGUGAAUUGAUGUCCUCAUUAUAUUGCAAAAAAAUAAAAAUUCUACAUAACUCUAGGUUUUUAUUUGAAACUUUCAGAUCUUAGUACGUGUAUUAAGUGGUUAAUGGUAAUCACUAAAAAAGUAGGAAUUGAAACUUUAGUUUCUUAAGCAGUAAGAAAAAAAUGAACAGUCACCAUUGGUGAAGAAUAGAGAACACAUGUCAAUGCAAAGAAAGCAGAAAUAAGAAAAAAGUGAAAUUGAAAAGCUCUUUAUGGGAAGACAUAAUACCUAAGGCAAGAUCCAUCAAAGAAAGAAUUGGUGAGGCCCGGGGAUGUAGCUCAGUGGUUCUGCCACCUGCCUCGCAAGUGCAAGGACCCGAGUUCAAUCCCCCAUACCAAAAAAAAAAAAGAAAAGAAAAGAAAGAAAGAAUUAGUCAGCUGGAUUUCAUUGAAAUUCAGAUGUUCUGCUCUACAAGAGACACUGUCAAGAGAAAGAAACAAGUGGCCUCAUGCAGCUUUAACAAGAUCCCUGAAGAAUUCAAUUGAAAGAGAUAAAAUAAUGUGUGUAUGCACAUUAUGAGUAGAUGAGAGCCAGUGCCAAAGUAUUUUCUAGAUAUUUUAAGGGAAUUUAAACAGCAAGCAUUGUUUCAUGCUGAGUCUUCAGUGCAAACAAAAUGCAAGCAUUUUGGGAACCUAUGUAUACAAAGUCAUCAGAUAUUUGGACUGUAAAAUUUAUCAAACAUUUAACUAUAAAACAAAGCCAAAAAGUGUCUGUGACAGAGUUCCAAGGCAUCCUUGAAAAAUACCUUACUCAGUAAGUGUUUCUCAUGUGUUUUUUGCAAUACAUUAGCUAAUAAGAAAUUUAUACUUUGGAAGAUUUAGUUGUCCCAUCCAUGUACUUUAGCUGUAUCUUUGACCACUAAACAUCACAUUAACUACAAAAUAUGAAAGACAAUUAGUGUUACCAAUGUUACUACAUUCACAUUGCUAAUGUUUUAUGGAUGGUCACAAACAAAGAGAAAUUUAUAAUGAAGAAACCAAACUUUCCUCCCUUUUAUAAGUAAGGUGACUAUUAUGAGUACUUAAUAAUUAAAAUAGGAAUCAUAAAUGGAAAUAAAACAUGAGUUGUUGGCUUUGAAAAAGAGACAAGUGGAGGUGAGGACCCCAGUUUAUAUUAUGGAGUAAACUGAAUGUUUUUCUCCCAAGAUAGGCUUUCAAAAAUGUUAGAACCUAGGAUAAGUUGUUGGCCACCACCCAUAAAUGUUAGCAAGGAAGAAAUUUUAAAGAGGAGGUGCUUUGUGCUGAGCAUUUCUUGAAGUCAAAAUCUCACUGAAUUAUUGAAGAGGAAGACAGAAGUGAAACUUGAAAAUGUGUUUGUAUAUGUGUGUAUAAAAUGAUGCAUGGCUUUGGAAAAAAAAAAAAAGAAAGAAGUCGCAAACUGGGAAAGUAGGCGACUAAACAAAUAUUUGCAAAAGACAAAACACAUAUAGGACUUACAUGCAAAAUAUACAAAGAAGGGGCCGGGGAUUUAGCCCAGUGAUUCUGCCCCCUGCCUUGCAAGCACAAGGUCCCAAGUUCGAUCCCCAGUACCAAAAAAAAAAGAAUAUACAAAAUACCUGACAUACACAACUUAAAGGAGAAAAGAUUCAUUUUGGCUCAUGGUUUCAGAGAUUUUUGGCAGAGCAAAAGAAAGUGGCUCACGGCAGUCAGGAAACAAGGGAAAAGCCAGAGAGAGAAGACCCCAGGGACAAGAAAAUACCCUUCAAAAGUAAGCUUCCAGGGCCAGGUAUUUAGCUCAGUGGUUCCACCCCCUGAUUCUCAAGCACAAGGUCCCAAGUUCGAUUCCCUGUACCAAAAAAAAAAAAAAGCAAGCUUCCAGUGACCUACUUCCUCCAACCAGGCUCCACCUACUACCAGCACAUUCAGCUAUGAAUUCACCAGUGGAUUGAUCCAUGAUAAGGUGAGUGGUUUCAUGAUCCAAUCACCUGAAAACUCCAGCUCUAAACACAAGAUUUUGGAGGACAUUUUAGAUCUAAACCAUAUAAAUCAACAAUGAAGCCAGGUGUGGUGGCAUAUGCCUGUAAUCUCAGCACUCGGGAGGCUGAGGCAGGAGGAUUGCCAUAAGCUCAAGGCCAGCCUGGGGUACAUAGUGAGUUCAGGGCCAGUCUGAACUACAAAGCAAGACCCUGUCUCAAAAAAAUAAAAUAAAAACAACAAUGAGAAAACAACAUGCUUCGAAAAUGGGCCAAAGGUCUUAGAAGGUACUUCAAACAGAAGUUGGCAAAUAAAUAUAUGAGAAAAUGUUCCAAAGUCAUCAAGAUACUGCAAAUUAGAACAAUGUGAGAAACUACUACAUAUCUAUUAAAAUAGCCAAAAGCCAGAACAGUGACAUCACCAAAUGCUGAUGAGAACAUCAGGCAACAGGAACUCUUCAUGUAUUGCUGGUGGGGAUGCAAAACAGUACAGCCACUUUAAAAGACAGUGGGUUGGUUUCUUACCAAAGUAAGCAUGCUUUCACCAUAUUGAUCCAGUAGGUCUGCUCCUUGGUAUUUAACCUAUUUAACCAAAGCAGUUAAAAAUAUAUCCACAAGAGCCUGCACAUGGAUGUUUACAGCAGCUUUGUUCAUAAUUAUCAAAGUAUAAAGGCAGCAAAGAUGCCCUUCAGUAGGCAAGUGGAUAAGUAAACUGAAGCAGAGCCAAACAAUGUGAUAUGAUGCAGUGCUAAAAAAGAAACAAGCUACCAAGCCAUGAAAAGACAUGGAAGAAACCCAAAGACAUAUUACUAAGUGAAAGAAACCAAUGUAAAAAGGAAGUAUACUGUAUGCUUCCAACUAUGUGACAUUCUGGAAAAGGCAAAACUAUGGAGAUAGUAAAACAAUCAGUGGUUGCCAGAGUUAGGGAGGAAGAUAUGAUUAAUAGGGUAGAUGAUGUUUAGGAGUGUGUCAUCUUUCUAUUAUACUACAAUAGUGGAUAAAUGUCAUUAUAAAUUAAUCUUAGGGCCAGGGAUUUAGCUCAGUGGUUUCACUGCCUGCUGCGCAAGUGCAAGGACCGGAGUUCAAUCCCGGUACCAAAAGAAACCCCAAAAAACAACAAAAAAAAUAAAUUAAUCUUAAUCUUGGGUCUCAUGACAUGAGAAGUUUCCUCUGCCAUGCCUCUCUGCCAUUCUAUUUCUUUUUUGGAGCCUGCCAACCUUGGAGUGAAAUACGAGAAAAUAAACCUCAUUUUCUUUAAGCUGCAGGUAUCAGGUAUUGUGUCUCAGCAACAAGAAAGUGACUAAGACAUUUGGGAACUACCUUAGUUACUUUUCUGAUUACUGAGACAAAAUACCUGAAACACAAAGUUAAAGGAGGAAAGGUUUAUUUAUCUCACAGUCUGUAGAGGUUUCAGUCCAUAGUCAGCUGGCUCUAAGGCAGGGUGGCAUGGCAGACAGGUAUCACAGAGGAGAAAGAGUUCAUGGCAGGCAGAAGGUAGCAAAGCAAGCAAGCCACAAGCAAUAAGACACUUUCUGUCCCUUCUGUCUUAUCCAAGCUACCUGCCCUUAGGGUGGGUAACAUUCACACACUUUAUCCUAGCACCCUUAAUCCUAGCAUUGCACUAUGAAUCAGUCCCAGCAUGACAUCCUUGAUCCCAGUAGAACUAUGCCAAACCAAUCAGUGGAGUAACUUAGUAAUCACACACUCUACUUCCAGCCACCUCUAUAAACCCCCACCUAUGACUGCAUGAGG